rnacentral:rRNA from 1 species
GACUGAUGAGUUGCGAACGGGUGAGUAACGCGUAGGUAACCUGCCUCAUAGCGGGGGAUAACUAUUGGAAACGAUAGCUAAUACCGCAUAAGAGUAAUUAACACAUGUUAGUUAUUUAAAAGGAGCAAUUGCUUCACUGUGAGAUGGACCUGCGUUGUAUUAGCUAGUUGGUGAGGUAAAGGCUCACCAAGGCGACGAUACAUAGCCGACCUGAGAGGGUGAUCGGCCACACUGGGACUGAGACACGGCCCAGACUCCUACGGGAGGCAGCAGUAGGGAAUCUUCGGCAAUGGACGGAAGUCUGACCGAGCAACGCCGCGUGAGUGAAGAAGGUUUUCGGAUCGUAAAGCUCUGUUGUU